rnacentral:rRNA from 1 species
AAGCUGAAACUUAAAAGAAUUGACGGAAGGGCACCACCAGGAGUGGAGCCUGCGGCUUAAUUUGACUCAACACGGGAAAUCUCACCAGGCCCGGACACCGGAAGGAUUGACAGAUUGAGAGCUCUUUCUUGAUUCGGUGGGUGGUGGUGCAUGGCCGUUCUUAGUUGGUGGAGCGAUUUGUCUGGUUAAUUCCGAUAACGAACGAGACUCUGGCCUACUAAAUAGACGUCAAAUCUUUUAUAGGUUUGUCGUAUGCUUCUUAGAGGGACGGGCGGCGUUUAGCCGCACGAGAAUGAGCAAUAACAGGUCUGUGAUGCUAUUAGAUGUUAUGGGCCGCACGCGCGCUACACUGAAGAAAUCAGCGUGUGUUCCUCAUCCGAAAGGAUUGGGUAACCCGUUGUACCUUUUUUGUGAUGGGGAUUGGGGAUUGCAAUUAUUCCCCAUGAACGAGGAAUUCCCAGUAG